CUCCCUCCUCUGUCUACUCACCAGGCCUCUCUGAGGACGCAGGAGGCAGGGGUUGCCGUGGGGGAGGAGCACCCUGCAGAUGGCGCCCUGACUCUGGCAAGGAAGGGGCUCCAGGGUCACAUGGAGGUCAAAGGAGAGCGGGGCAUGGCGAGGGCUGCUCACACAGGGUCCUGGCCACCCACGGGAACUAACUGAAAGAGCAGGGGGCAUUGAGGCCCUGAAGACACAGGGAGAACGCAGGCCACCUGGGGGGAGAGGGACGUUUCCUCUCAUGCAGUCAUCAACAAACUUUAACUGAGGGACACAAGGGAAUCUCAGAGAUUUAAGGAGUAAGUGCAUGAAAAGAAAGAAGGAAGGAGAGAGGACAGAGUCCCUGCACUGUCGGAACUCUCCUUGAAUAUAAGAUGACGGCUCAGAUGAAAAAAAUACCUACAAUGCAGAAUCAUGCAGGAGGUGCUAUAAAACUCUCCCAAAAUGAAGAAAAGAGAAAAAUCUUGCUUCGAGUCCACCUUGACAGCCCCAGCCCCGCACCCAGGGCCUGGCACACAAACAGCAAGCCGGGCCUCGGUGGAGUAGGGUGCACCUGGGGCUGCAGGGCAGGGGGACCUGGACAGGUCUCAGAGGGGGCUGCUGAGAGGAGGGGAGGGGCUCGGUGGAAGGGUCAGUGGCCUGGCCCGGAAACCAUCCCGGAGGAGUUCCUGGGGCCGGAAGUCUGCAGAGCUGUCCCCAGGAGGCCACUGCAGGGGCCCCUUGCAGAUUCGUAGGUGGAAGCCUUCACCCCUGCCUGGUACCUCAGAAUGUGACCUAUUUUGGCGCAGGGCCUUUCCAGAGGCUCCACCUCCUCAGGGUUCCACCACCCCCUAAGAACACCAGAUUGAAGACCAGGCUUUCAACAUAUAGGCCUUUGGAAGAUGGCCCAGACCUAAACUAUGGCACCUGGUUUCUUACAACCACCUUUCAAACAUGGCCACUGGCAAUGACACAUAGCCUCCUGGAAAGCUGACCAGAUUGACUUCCACCCUCUGUGCUACUGACAUCAGAGGCACCGUGGGCAGAUCUGAACGUUAUCGAAGCACCGUAUUCUGGAACUUCCUGCCAAAUUUGCCUAUGGCACAUGGCUGAUUAUUUCAAGGUUGUCGUCUCUUUCCCCUCUGGCUCCAGGCCAACUCCUGUACUCCCUAAACCGUGUGGCUGCCGACAGCAUGCAGAUCUGACAUCUGUCAGUCAAGCUUUGAGACAGAGAGCCAGCCAGUACUCUUCGCCUCCCACAUCCAAGUCCCUGGGGAAGAAAUUCCACCAGGCCUGCUCAUCCACAUGAAGUGCCUAGCACCAUGCCUGACAGUGAGAAGCAUGCGGCAGUGUCAGCUGGUCUUAAUACUGGAAGUGGUGAUAGGAUUUUUUAAUAUCCAUAAUAAUUACUAGGGCCUCUGUGUCGGUGUCUGCACAGCUCUGUUUUGUGGAUGACAGUGUUCUUGUGUGGAAUCAGCGGAUACUUAACAGCCACCUGGGCCUCUGUGGCCAAGCCCACUUCAGGCUUCAGAAGCUGGAACAACCAUAGCCAUAGGCAGCUAAAUAGGCUAACUCCCCACAACCUACCAGCUCCAUUUGGACAGCAUAAAUCCUGCUUGACAGCCCCCAGCUCUGAGCCCAUGACUAAGAAAUUCUCUUUUAAGUAGAAGAUAACAUGGUUGGACAGUGACUACCAUUUGCAAACAAAAAUUCGAAAGAAAAUGGGUGCCCCGAGAAGGCUGCGCCAGGAAGCACAGGAGCAGGGAGGGAGAGAAACCCUUCCAGAUCACACCCGCAAGGAUCACUCCUCCAACCAGACCCCACCUCCUAACAGCAAGGCAGCUGUGCUGCCCAUGUGGCUGAGUCACCUUCCAGAACCCCCACCUAUGAGUGCAUGAGGCCUCUGGGGGACAUUCUUGGUCUAAAUCACAAUAAUCUUCAGUACUGAAACACACACACACAAAACAAAGGGCUAGAGGUGUGACUCAGUAUUCCCUGGCUUUAAUCUCCAGUGCUGUAAAUAAAUAAGUAAAUUUUAAAAACAGAAAAUAAUAAGUAAAAUGAGGAUGUGGAGAAAUCAGAACCCUUGUGGCAGGUAGGAAUGUAAAAAUUGUACAACCGCUAUGGAAAACAGUAUGAGGGUUCCUCAGAAAUGUAAAGUAGAAUUACCGUAUUACCCAGCAACACUACUUGUAGAUAUAUACCCAAAAGAAUUGUUUGUUUAUUUUUUUACUGGGGAUCAAACUCUGGUCCUUGCACCUGCAAGGCAGGCAGCGGAACCACUGAGCUAAAUCCCCAGCCCUAUACCCAAAAGAAUUGAAGGUAGGAUCUCCAAGGAAUAUGGGUGUAUUCAUGUUCAUAGCACCAUUGAUUAACAUAAGCCAAAAGAUGGAAGCAAUCACCAAAUGUCACUGACAGCUAAAUGGAUAAGCAAAAUACAAUGCAUGCAUACAAUGGCAUAUUAUUGUAUCAGUCUGCUCAGGCUCCCAUAAUAAAACACUAUAAACUAAAUGACUUGAACAACAUGGAUGUAUUUUCUCACAAAUAUAAACUAGAUGUCUAAGAUCAAGUCUCUGCCUGAUUCAGCUUUGGAUCAGGGUCUCGUCCUGGCUUGCAAAUAGCUGGCUGCUCCGUGUGUCCUCACAUGAUCUUUUCUUGGUGCCUGUGUGUGGAGGGACAAAAAGACAGACACAGACAGAGAGAACCAGCCCUCCAGUGUCUCUUCUUGUAAGGAGACUAACUCUAUCAGAGCAUGGCUCCACUACCCUUGUGACCUCAUUUAAAAAUGAAGGAAAUGGGCUGGGGAUUUAGCUCAGUGGCAUUGUGCCUGCCUUGCAAGUGCAAGGUCCUGAGUUCAAUCCCUGGUACCCGCCCCCCCAAAAACAAGGAAAUUUUGACAUCUGCUCCAAUAAGAAUGACCUCAAGGACAUAAUGCAAGGUGAAAUGAGCCAGCUACACACAAAAAAGACAAAUACUAUCUGAUCCAAUUAUAAAGUUCUUAGCAUCAUCAGGUUCAAAGAGACAGAAAGUAGAAUGCUGGUUGUCAGGGACUAAGAGGAAGAAGGGUGUGUUAGUUACCUUUCUCUCUCAUUGCUGAGACAAAAUACCUGAUACCCAAAGUUAGAAGGGAAGGGGUUUAUUUGGCUUAUAGUUUAUAGAAGUUUCAGCCCAUAAUCAGCUGACUCCAAGGAAGGGAUGACAAACAGGCAUGGCAGAACAGAAACAACAUGGCACACACAAGGCAGCAAAGGUAAUGAGAGAAAAUUACUGCUGUCUCCCUGGCCCUUUUAUUUUAUUAAAGCUACUUAGGGUGGAAAGCACUCACACCCUUAAUCCUAGUGCCCUUGAGCCUAGCAUUGCAUCAUGAAUCAAUUCCAGCUUCACACACCCUACCUAGAUCAAGCCUAUGACCACGUGAGGCUUUGGGAGACAUCCAGACCCAAACCGUAACAGAGGGAAUGAAGAAUUGUUGUGUAAUGGAGACAGAGUUUCAGUUUUGCAAAAUGAAGAGAGCUUUGGAGAUUAGUUGCUCAACAGUAUGAAUGUACUUAACACUACUGAACCAUACACUUGAAAAUGGCUAAGAUGGUAAGUUUGCUGAAAUGUGAGUUUUAUCACAAUUAAAAAUAACCAACAAACAAAGAAAUCCCCACUAGGAACACCACUCCACUCCUGCCUCCACUCCUAGAGUACUGGGGGUGAAAGGCAGGUGCUUUGAAAUAAGGAAGACCUGGCUUCACCUCUGCACCUCCCACAGCUACAAGGUAGCUGCCCAGUCUUCAAAAUGCAUCUUAUCCUUCAAAUGACUAAAUCUCAUUGAAUAUCAGGUUCCCUGCUGACUUUCUUGGGACUCUAGCAAAUUCCCAGUGGUCAGACUGCCUUGCAGUCCCUUAGCAGAUCCUCAGCAGAAGCAGAAGCUGGUAACUGGCAGCUGACCUGGGUCCUAAGUAUCUGAGUGCUGCACUGUCUGUAUUCUCCUCACCCCAUUGGCCCGUGUUUCAACAGCAUCCUACAGGGACUCCGCAUGUCUGACUUCAGAAAGAAAGAGCAGCAUGACUCCACUGCCAUUAAACUUGUCAAGAUUGUUCCCCAGAAGGUGCUCCCAGACCUAACGCUGACACCGAGGAAAGACCCUAGUUGGUUAUUUUGACACAUUCAGCCCAACUCUGCAACGGACUCAGUGACAUCCUCACUGGGCAGUUAGUUUCACAUCAGAGAAUACUUUGAUCCAUUCCAUGGGAUGCUCAAUGUGGAAUCAUUUAUCUUCCCUCUAGCUUUUAAAAAUGAGGAACUAGCCAGGUUUGGUGGUACACAACUGUAUUCCAGCACCCUGGGAGGGUGAAGCAGGAGGACUAAGAGUUUGAGCCCAGCCUGGGCAACUUAGUGAUUUAGUAGGACCCUGUCUCAAAAACACUGAAGAGUGUUGGGGAUGUAGUCGCAUGCAUAGGCCCUGGGUUCAAUCCUUAGUAUUGCAAUCAAUCAAUGAAUCAAUCAAUCAAUCAAUCAAAAAUUAAAAAUAAAAAUGAGGAGACUGAGGUCCAUAAAAGGUUAAGGGAUUUGCUUAAUGACAAUCAAAAGUAGAAAUGGGAAUCAAACCCACGGCUUUAGGAACCAAGUCCAGACAUAUUCCUAUGACGACAGGCUGCCUCACAAAAAUAAAAGUACCUUCUGAGUUUCUGUCAUCUUUGCUUAAGACCCAAGCCAAUUUUUUCCAUAUUGCUUCGGUUUUAAUAUAUGCGCUGUCAAAAUGAGCAUAUAUAAAAGCGUACAUCGUUAGCUAGGAUAAUUAAAUCCCUGGCUCAUCUGACCAUUUCACUAUAACAGCAGGCACUGUGUAGUUAACCCUCACUUUGCUGGUCCACCUCCCCUUGCAGACUAACAGCAAUAACAUCGCCUUGCAGAUAACAGGAAUGAUCCCUUUCCUAGUACCAAGGACAGUCUUUGAAACAAGAAUGACUGGAUAGAUUGGCGUCAGAUCACUGAUUAUGUGAGACAAAUGUGUGCCAUCCACCUGGACAAAUGUUUAUUUCAUAUCUCAGUCUCAGAAGCAGCAGGACAUCUGAAACAUGGAAGGGCUCCUGUACACUGUCAGUGCCCAGCAAUUUUGCAGAUGCCUUAUGUGUUGUGGUUAUGUUGGUUUUGGAUUUGGGUUUUCUUGCUUUUGGAGUUUAUUUUUGUUUUGUGCAUGUCCAUGUCUUUGUUUAUAAUAAAAUGCACCUCAAAUGUAUGUAAGGAAGCAUAAUGGCUGAAUCGAAUACUUUAGGAUGCCCUAAAAUUUAAGAAUAAGAUUGGCUCUAUUUUCAAAAUUAACUGAGCUGGUCAUUAAUCCUUUAUGUAUUAAGAAUCUCAUGUGCAGGAUACAAGAUAAACAUUAAAAAGUCAGUAGCUUCUCUGUACACAAUAUUGAACUGAGAAGAACAAAUCAGGAAAACAAUUCCACUCACAGUAGCUUCAAAAAAAUUACCUAGGAAUCAACCUAAGCAAGGAGGUGAAAGACCUCUACAAUGAAGAUUACAGAACUCUGAAGAAAGAAAUUGAAGAAGACACCAGAAAAUGGAAAGACCUCCCAUGUUCAUGGAUUGGCAGAAAUAACAUUUUAACCAAAAGCAAUCUACAGAUGCCAUGCAAUCUCCAUCAAAAC
ensembl:lncRNA